rnacentral:rRNA from 1 species
ACUGAAUUCUCUUCGGAGAUAGUAAGGUGGCGGACGGGUGAGUAACACGUAAAGACUUGCCCUGCAGUCUGGGACAACUAUUGGAAACGAUAGCUAAUACCGGAUAUUGCUGCAUGGCGAAAGCUGUAUGCGCUGCAGGAGAGCUUUGCGUCCCAUUAGUUAGUUGGUGAGGUAACGGCUCACCAAGACCGCGAUGGGUAGCCGGCCUGAGAGGGUGAACGGCCACAAGGGGACUGAGACACGGCCCUUACUCCUACGGGAGGCAGCAGUGGGGAAUAUUGGACAAUGGACCAAAGUCUGAUCCAGCAAUUCUGUGUGCACGAUGACGGUCUUAGGAUUGUAAAGUGCUUUCAAUCGGGAAAAAGAAAGUGAUGGUACCGAUAGAAGAAGCGACGGCUAAAUACGUGCCAGCAGCCGCGGUAAUACGUAUGUCGCAAGCGUUAUCCGGAUUUAUUGGGCGUAAAGCGCGUCUAGGCGGUCUGGUAAGUCUGAUGUGGAAAUGCGGGGCUCAACUCCGUAUUGCGUUGGAAACUGCCAGACUAGAGUACUGGAGAGGUGGGCGGAACUACAAGUGUAGAGGUGAAAUUCGUAGAUAUUUGUAGGAAUGCCGAUAGAGAAGUCAGCUCACUGGACAGAUACUGACGCUGAAGCGCGAAAGCAUGAGGAGCAAACAGGAUUAGAU